rnacentral:rRNA from 1 species
AUUGAACGCUGGCGGCAUGCCUUACACAUGCAAGUCGAACGGCAUCGCGGGAAAGCUUGCUUUCCUGGCGGCGAGUGGCGAACGGGUGAGUAACACAUCGGAACGUACCGGCUAGUGGGGGAUAACCCGUCGAAAGACGGGCUAAUACCGCAUACGCUCUUCGGAGGAAAGCAGGGGACCUUUGGGCCUUGCGCUAGUCGAGCGGCCGAUGUCCGAUUAGCUAGUUGGUGGGGUAAAGGCCUACCAAGGCGACGAUCGGUAGCGGGUCUGAGAGGACGAUCCGCCACACUGGGACUGAGACACGGCCCAGACUCCUACGGGAGGCAGCAGAGGGGAAUCUUGGACAAUGGGGGCAACCCUGAUCCAGCAAUGCCGCGUGGGUGAAGAAGGCCUUCGGGUUGUAAAGCCCUUUCGGCAGGGAAGAAAUCGGCGGGGCGAAUAACCCUGCUGGAUGACGGUACCUGCAGAAGAAGCACCGGCUAACUACGUG